CUUUCUGUUUUCAAAUUUUGAACACUCUCUCUCAAAUUUUGGAGCCCAUUCCUGUACCUCCCUGUCGAGACCCAACCCUUGUCGUGCUUCCCUGUCUUCAUCUUCUCUCUUCCUCCCUCCCUCUCUGCCGUCAACAGGGGAACAUCAACAAGGGAGUCAUCCCCGGCCAGAGCAUCACCUUCACCGUCCCUGGUUUUGGCAAUAUUAAGUUGGAACGACCUCUAACAUUAUGGAUAAUCUAGAUGGAGACUUACAACGAACUGUUCAGUUUCUUCAACAAAGAAAUAUCGGUGUAGUGAUUCGUGAUGAGCAUGAUUUCAAUGUCGUUCGUAUUUCUAAUGCAAUGGAAAAGGAAAAUGCAAAGGCAAUGUUGAAAGGAAAAGAAAAGGUGUCUUAUGCUUCCAAGGGCAAGGGAAAGGAAAAUGCAUGUCCAACGGUAUAGUUCUUAAUGGUUUUUGUAAAGUGUUUUUUUUUUUAAAUUGUUAGUUUUCCUAUGUUUGUAUUUUAAGCCAUAAUUGUAGAGUGUUUUUGAAAAUGCAUGUAUAAUUAUUUAUUUUAAACCAUAAUUGUAUUUUCAUGGUUUAAACUGUACACUUUUUUAAGUGUCUCCUGUAUAUAUGUGUAAAUCUGCACCACUUUUCAAUGUAAGUGGGCGAAAGUUUUGAGAUAAGAGAUAAAGAGAGGAGAGAGAAAAUGGGCAAAUUUUUUU